GACGAACGCUGGCGGCGUGCUUAACACAUGCAAGUCGAACGGAAAGGCCCUGCUUUUGUGGGGUGCUCGAGUGGCGAACGGGUGAGUAACACGUGAGUAACCUGCCCUUGACUUUGGGAUAACUUCAGGAAACUGGGGCUAAUACCGGAUAGGAGCUCCUGCUGCAUGGUGGGGGUUGGAAAGUUUCGGCGGUUGGGGAUGGACUCGCGGCUUAUCAGCUUGUUGGUGGGGUAGUGGCUUACCAAGGCUUUGACGGGUAGCCGGCCUGAGAGGGUGACCGGCCACAUUGGGACUGAGAUACGGCCCAGACUACUACGGGAGGCAGCAGUGGGGAAGAGUGCACAAUGGGCGGAAGCCUGAUGCAGCAACGCCGCGUGCGGGAUGACGGCCUUCGGGUUGUAAACCGCUUUCGCCUGUGACGAAGCGUGAGUGACGGUAAUGGGUAAAGAAGCACCGGCUAACUACGUG
rnacentral:rRNA from 1 species